rnacentral:rRNA from 1 species
CCUACGGGUGGCAGCAGUGGGGAAUAUUGGGCAAUGGGCGCAAGCCUGACCCAGCAACGCCGCGUGAAGGAAGAAGGCUUUCGGGUUGUAAACUUCUUUUCUCAGGGACGAAGCAAGUGACGGUACCUGAAGAAUACGCCACGGCUAACUACGUGCCAGCAGCCGCGGGAAUACGUAGGUGGCAAGCGUUAUCCGGAUUUACUGGGUGUAAAGGGCGUGUAGGCGGGAAAGCAAGUCAGAUGUGAAAACUAUGGGCUCAACCUGUGGCCUGCAUUUGAAACUGUUUGGCUUGAGUACUGGAGAGGCAGACGGAAUUCCUAGUGUAGCGGUGAAAUGCGUAGAUAUUAGGAGGAACACCAGUGGCGAAGGCGGUCUGCUGGACAGCAACUGACGCUGAGGCGCGAAAGCGUGGGGAGCAAACAGGAUUAGAUACCCCUGUAGUC